AGAACAGAAAACCCAAACAGAGGGAAGAUAUUUGGUAAUGUAAACCUAUUUUUUUUUUUUUAUAUAAUUAAUAAAUUUUUCUGACCAUUCUGUUUCAUGAAAACAAAUAGCAAAUUAAAUACUAAAAAAAAAAAAAUAAAAAAAAUAAAACAUACAUCCCUCUUCUGUGGGAGUUCACUUGAACUUAAAGUGCAACUAAAAACGAGCCAUAAAAGAUGCUUGUAAAACAUGUUGGUAACCCCCGCCUUUAUAAACAAUGAAAAUAUAACACUCAAAAUGUUUGCAGCUUAUGGUAUCAAAUGAUCUGCAUGUUGAACAAUUUUUUCUAUGAACAAUGAUGGUCUAAUAUUACUCUUAACAUCUGUAAAGCCCUUGGGGUGGAUAAAGGGGCAAAGAAUACAGGUUUUCUGAAAUUAUGUAUUUAUAAAUGAAUAUCCUAGGUUAUUAAGUAACCUAAAAUAGAUUUGAUUGUGAUUUUUCAUUUUUAUUUUAGACCAUAAAUCUAAAUAAAAUAACUCAGAGACAUCUGGCUAAAAGAUGCUGUUAUGGAAUUAACAUAAGAGAUUAUCUAUUAGUAGAGGCCUAAUAUUUUAAAGAUUUCAGAGUACAAAACUGACAGUGCUCCCAAAGCUGAGCUUCAUAACAAGAACAAACUGAUUUGUGUGUGAAAACUUUGGAGAAGACUGUGUGCAACCUUUUUGCAUGUGCGCCUUCAUGAAUAUGCAGAGCAUAAGGUUUUAACCAAACUGUGACAAUUCACCACUAAAGGAUUUUCAAAGGGCUUAAGAGUAAAAUCUUACUUUAGCAUUUUUUCAAACCUCAGACUCCUUGUAGUUAAUUUUCCUCUAUAUUCAGCAUCUCCUUUGUUUCCCCGUCUUUCAUUACUAGACGGACUGAUUAAUCCAGGAAUGAAAGCCAGGAAACACAGGAGCUGGCUGAAGCUCAGAAUGAAGGGGAGUUGGGCGUAUAGCCCAUAGAAGAGAAGGGAGUCAAAACACCCAUAUAUUCUGUGUGCAAUUUAGCUUUUCCUAAUGGAACCAUCUUAAUAUCAUGUUACCGGUAUAUCAGAAAAGCACAACAAACAUAACAUUAUGUAGUCAAGGUGGUAUUAACUUAAAAAAAAAA